rnacentral:lncRNA from 1 species
UCCUUUGCAACUUCUUGCAGAGCUCCCUAGGCUUCAAAUCACUGCCAGAUGUGUCCCUGCUGCUGAAUUUUCCCACGCUUCCCUUUCCCUCCCAGCUUCUUCCUCAGGGAGAUUCCCCCAGGUUAACCUUCCCUGCCCCGCCUCAGCUGCAGAAACUUCUUGAGAGGGUAGGAAAUGGUGUGUUUCUAGUCAGCUCCCAACUUGGCUUUCCACAUCAAAAAAAGCCAGAGUCCCAAGGCUUCCCGGCCCUCCCUCCCGACUGAUCUCCCACCACUGUAAUAGGCCGUAAGGGUUGGAUGAGCUGACAUACCCUCCUCCAAUCCUCAGUGUGGCCCAGGCCUACAUGAACCAGAGAAAGCUGGACCAUGAGGUGAAGACCCUGCAGGUCCAGGCUGCCCAGUUUGCCAAGCAGACCGGCCAGUGGAUUGGCAUGGUGGAAAACUUCAACCAGGCACUUAAGGAAAUCGGGGAUGUGGAGAACUGGGCUCGGAGCAUCGAACUGGACAUGCGCACCAUUGCCACAGCGCUGGAGUACGUCUACAAAGGGCAGCUGCAGUCUGCACCGUCCUAGACUAAAACCCACCCCUCUCACCUCACCCUCCUGGACAGGAGGGAGACUGGCAAGCCAUGAAUAAAAACUCAAGCUUCC